AACGUAGGAGACAAACGUUAUCCGGAGUUACUGGGCGUAAAGGGCGCGUAGGCGGCUUACCAAGUCAGGCGUGAAAUUCCCGGGCUCAACCUGGGGGCUGCGCUUGAUACUGGUGAGCUUGAAUGCGGGAGAGGAUAGUGGAAUUCCCAGUGUAGAGGUGAAAUUCGUAGAUAUUGGGAAGAACACCGGUGGCGAAGGCGGCUAUCUGGCCCGUAAUUGACGCUGAGGCGCGAAAGCGUGGGGAGCAAACAGG
rnacentral:rRNA from 1 species